UGGGGCUUGGUUUGAAGGAGUUGACAGUU
rnacentral:piRNA from 2 species